rnacentral:rRNA from 1 species
UACGAAGGGGGCUAGCGUUGCUCGGAAUCACUGGGCGUAAAGCGCACGUAGGCGGAUUGCUAAGUCAGGGGUGAAAUCCUGGAGCUCAACUCCAGAACUGCCUUUGAUACUGGCGACCUUGAGUCCGGGAGAGGUGAGUGGAACUGCGAGUGUAGAGGUGAAAUUCGUAGAUAUUCGCAAGAACACCGGUGGCGAAGGCGGCAUCCUGGACCGGUAUUGACGCUGAUGCGCGAAAGCCAGGGGAGCAAACGGG